rnacentral:rRNA from 1 species
AAAAGAUUUAUCGGUAUGAGAUGGACCCGCGUCUGAUUAGCCAGUUGGCAGGGUAACGGCCUACCAAAGCAACGAUCAGUAGCCGGCCUGAGAGGGUGAACGGCCACAUUGGGACUGAGACACGGCCCAAACUCCUACGGGAGGCAGCAGUGGGGAAUAUUGCACAAUGGGGGAAACCCUGAUGCAGCGACGCCGCGUGAGUGAGGAAGUAUUUCGGUAUGUAAAGCUCUAUCAGCAGGGAAGAAAAUGACGGUACCUGACUAAGAAGCCCCGGCUAACUACGUGCCAGCAGCCGCGGUAAUACGUAGGGGGCAAGCGUUAUCCGGAUUUACUGGGUGUAAAGGGAGCGUAGACGGCUAAUCAAGUCAGAAGUGAAAACCCAGGGCUCAACUUUGGGACUGCUUUUGAAACUGAGUAGCUAGAGUGCAGGAGAGGUAAGCGGAAUUCCUAGUGUAGCGGUGAAAUGCGUAGAUAUUAGGAGGAACACCAGUGGCGAAGGCGGCUUACUGGACUGUAACUGACGUUGAGGCUCGAAAGCGUGGGGAG